rnacentral:rRNA from 1 species
CAGCCGCCGCGGGAAUACGAAGGGUGCAAGCGUUAAUCGGAAUUACUGGGCGUAAGGCGUGCGUAGGCGGUUUGUUAAGUCUGUUGUGAAAUCCCCGGGCUCAACCUGGGAAUGGCAAUGGAUACUGGCAAGCUAGAGUCUUGUAGAGGGGGGUGGAAUUCCCGGUGUGGCGGUGAAAUGCGUAGAGAUCGGGAGGAACAUCAGUGGCGAAGGCGGCCAUCUGGGACAACACUGACGCUGAGGCACGAAAGCGUGGGGAGCAAACAGGAUUAGAGACCCGUGUAGUCCCUGUCUCUUAUAA